GGGAGCAUGUCUGUUUUUCUUGAAGGGAAAAAGAAGAUCUUUCCUCCCUGCCCAAGAGGCCAGUGACAUAUUCAACCUGUCAACCUCCUACUCUGGAUCUGCUAGUCAGCCCUCUGGCUGGAAGGAUAGAUACAAGCAAAGACAUCCAGGAGCACCCAAGAAUUUGGCAUGUUUUAAGGUCUAAAACACCUUAUUUGUCAGAGACAGGGUGCUCAACACUUGUGACAUCCAACCCUGAUGAGAUGAUCAAGUUGUGCAACUGAAAUCACCACUACUAAUCCUUUUUUAAGAAGGAAGACACACAGCCUGCACAUAUCGUGCUAACACGUGGAGGAGGAAACUUCCCUCAUGUGAAGUUUUAAAAGCAGCUGAAGGAGGAAGUAAAGUGCUGAUGCAUGCUUCCUGCCCUGGGCAAGCUCCCCAGCGCUGCCCUGCACACCCACCGCGCUCACGUGAAGUCUGCAGCCAUGUGCAGGAUUCAGACACGGCCUUAUCAGGACACAAGACAGCAUUUAGAGCGGUGAAAAGCAUUACUGACAUGUGGGGACCUUCCCCACCCUCCUCUCCACCCUGCACACUCCUUCCCCUCCAGCUGAAAAACAAUGGAGGAAACCUGUACGAGCCUGAAUACAAAACAACCGCUCGACUCUGCAACAAAGCCGGAUGUGUUCACAUGAAGCAGAGACAGUUGUCAGCCCAAGCACGGCUCACAACAGCACAAUUACAUCUCUUAAUUAUUACCAGCCUGGCUCCCCCAAUGUUCACAUUUUUUCAGUUGCUAAAUAAGUUAAUCACUUCAUGAACAAGGAAAUCUGCAGAUGCCUUUGAGGCUUUGUUAACAUAGUGCCUAAGCCAGCUUUACACUCUCUUCUAAUCCUCUUUAAGACAGUAUGAGGCAGUGAAGUAGCCUAUAAUCAGUUUUUAAGGUUAUAGACAAUAUCCCCACUCAAGCUGGUUGCCUAGAGCAACAGUGCAGGAACUGAAUACUAGCAAUGAGAUUGGAUUACUUGCCUUGUUUAUUCAUCCAUAUAUAUUUAUCCUCUGCUCUGCCUACAGCAGAUUUUUGUAGCCUGUACCUCACACAUCCAGAUGCAGAGCAGAAUUUAUGUUAAAAAUGCAGACAGGCUUCAAGAAUUAAUCUCUUUCCAUUUCUGAUUCUCUCCUAUCCCUCUCCACCUCAAUAUCUGAAAGUUCAAAACACUCCCAGAACUGUGAUUGCUUGCAGUGUCUCAGCAAAAAUAAGUCUUCCCACUGCUUCACAUCUACAUGGAAGUGGAAAGCCCUCUUGCAGGAGUGCUGGCAUCACCAGCAACAUUUAGGCACCCUGAAGUGCCUCCUGAUCUGGUGCAUGCUUGCCAGGAGGCUCCAGGAGCUGCUAUUUCAGCUUUGCUGAGGAUAUGUCUCAGCCUGACCUAUGGGGAUGCCCAGACAGUGUUUGCAUAAACCAAAUUGUUCUGUAUUUGUAAUCCACUGACGAGAAGUCAGUCCAUGUUGCUGUUUCUCUCUGUUAAAAGUGUUCUACCUUCACCUUCUUUCCCUGAAAAGCUGUAUUUUUGCCUCUGGCCAAAAUCACUUCCCUUUUGUAUCUUAAGCUUAUGCACAGUUUUAACCAGAGUCAGACAACUUGUCUGUCCAUUCUUGCCUGCAGUGGCUCCUCAGAUGACCUGAUGUGGCUGAUGUUAACUCCAGGCUCUUCUUUAGAAAACAGGGUAAUAUAAAAACCCCCUUACAGAUGGAAGACUCAUAGCAGUGACACUAAGACUGUAGUUAGGGAAUGCCUAGUUGUUACCAACAAACAUCAGAGCUAGCAGAUAGCCAAAGAGCAAAUGAAGCAGCAUCCUGAGCAGAGAGAGCCUGCGUGCUUCCCCACACUUACCAAAGGUAUAGCCCAGAGCUUGAGAGUAACCUGUGAGAAGGUCAAAUCAAGAUGCUGUGGAUUAGCUUCCAGAAAGACCUCUUGCAGGAAUAAAUUUCAGUGGGGCUUUGGUAUCCCACCAGCUUCUCUGAAAAUCCCAAAGUGCAUAGAGAAACAUAGUGUUGUCACACUUCUGCUUAUCUGAGUUCACACCUCCUGCACCAAAUUUAACUGUCUGUCCUAUGCACAGGUCAAAGUACUUUCUUGGAGCUUCCUCUAACCUCAGCCAACAGAGAAACCUCAAAGUUGGCUAUUAACAGCAAAGCUGACAGCAUUUUCUUUACCCCUCACAUUCCAAAACUUCCCUGGAGCUCAUCUGUGUUCAGCAACCAAACCAACCUUCAGAGUUGACCUCUGCUGUGCAGUGGACAUCCUUUAUCAGAGUAGCUUCUCAAAGGAAAGAUAAUUCACCCAAUUUCCUGCCAGAACUGGACUAUCACAUCCUUUUGCAGGCCUGUUACAUGAAGGGUAUUUUUCAUUACACAUCAGCUCGCUGAGGCACUGGCAUCUGCAGCUGUGAAGGAAAGAGGUGCUGCAGGAAGGGAGGACACAGCACCAAGUCUCAGGAGAAGCACAACACAUUUUUUUAACAUAAUCUGGGACAUGCCACUUUAACUCAGUUCUUAACUAGCAAAAUGGUGUAUUCGUUCAAGAAAAGAGAUUAGAGGUUUGACAGGUAAUAAAUCUGGUUUUUAAAGAGAGCUAACUGAACAGCAGAUGAGCUUGGCAAAUGACUGUGCUGAAGCAAGGAAAGUGAGGGGCAGGCAGGUUGCUGCUAGGAGGGAAACCUGAAAAAAGAGAGUUUAAGACAUUGCAUUUCAGGACACUGUUAUAAUGAAAGGGCUCAUUUUGGGGAGGGUGAAAGAUUCAGUAUUUUCAGAAAGAAACUUGCUGUCUUUUCAUUUUGAAGUGAGUUUCUUUUUGUUGUUCUGAAAAGUCACCUAAAUUAAGAAGAAAGAGGAAAAGCAGGAGUUAAAUAACCCCAAAUCAGAAUGUUUCAUUGUGGACUUAUCUGGACAUUUCAGGUUAACCCAAAAUGAAAAUAUUUUGGUUUUCUUUUCAGUGAAAAAAAUGGAAAGGAAAAAUAUCUGCUUCAUCAAACUGACAUGAACUGUUUGCCUCCCACACCUCUUGCCUCAGAACCCAUCUUCAGUUUCUGUGCUAGCAGAAAAGACCAGCAAUUCUCACAUAUCAUCACUCGAUUUCUUGCACUGCUCACCCAGUCUAAGCUGUUUGGGCUCCUCUAUUCCAAGUGUCUGUAAAGUGUCUCCCACCGGGAGAUCAUGUGCUGCCUGUUGUCUUUCUGCUUUUCCCAAAUCCUCAGAAAAUGAAUGAUGGGAGACCACCUCCUGCCCUGGGCCCCCUCCCUCUGGGCUCCCCUGCAGAUGGCACUGUGGGAGCAUCCCUGCACCCUGCAGCCCUGAGGACCCUCUGCCUCCGUGGCUCCUGUGUUAUCCCCUGCACUCAAAUCAUUUCUUUGGCCUACUUUCUUCUUGGAAUUUUUUUUCCUCCCAGAGAAAUUAUUUAUCAUAGGAAUUGCCAGCACUUAAUAAACAUCCCUCCAAGAAUAAAUUUGUUUAUCUAAGGUAUUUUAUUAUGCUGCCUCAGAUAAAAGUCAGGGGGAAAAAAAAAUCCUCCCCAGAAUAUUUUUGACUGUGCAAACAGUGGCAGAGUGGUGUCCUUGAGCACAAUUUUCAAAGGGGAGGUUUGUGAGAAGCCAUUUCAGCUGUUAAGGAAUGAGUUAUCUUCCAAAUGAACAAAAAGAGGUGGCAGCAUAGGCCCUGGCAAUUGAUCCAGUGUGACAGAGACAGAUUUAGGAACCUCAAAGCAUUUUGUUCCAGGGUCUGCACUGCUUGUCCUCCUGUUUCACCUUCUGUUGUCAUCCAGACUGGGUGAUGGGGGGGAGGAAGAUGGAAGCACUUGAAAUUCAGGUUGCACAGGUUCAAGUAGAGACACAAGACAGCAGGUCAUGGAAAAUCAGGACUUCUGUCAGUCAAUCCCACAGCGGUUUCCACCGCUGCCUCACCCCCCUCCUUUUGCUGAUGUAGGAGCCCGUGUCUCUGUGCUGAUGAGCAAUGCAGGAGCUAGCAGAUCUGCUACCCAGUCAGGCUCCCCAUGCCACAAAGUCAUCAAGUAACACCAGCUGGGGCCCUGGCAAGAGCAGCCCUGGGCUGUGUGAGGAGAUAAUACAGUGAAAGGAAUGCUUAUUAGAAGCAGGAAGCCUGGCAGUAGGAUUUCUCAUCCCAAAUACAAGCUUUGCAGCAGUAUAAAUAAUGCAUGUCAAUUGCCAGCAUCCUGAAAAUUAGUUAAAGUAGGUUAGGAAAAAAAACAAAGGAAAAAGGAGGAAAAGAAAUCACACUCCAAUGCUAUCCAUUCAAAAGGAGCUUGCUGCUUGUAAUGGGCCAGUAAUUAAAAACUCAUCUUUUUUUUUUUGCAUGAAACUGUGCUAGCAAGAGACAGACUAUUGUCCAAGUUGUCAGACCCAACCCUGCAGCUCCUUGCCCAAACUGAAUGGUGUGCCUCUCCCUCUGAUGUAUAUGGGAAAUCCUGUGCCUUGGGUCGGAGUAGGUCACCCAAAUGUGUGUCUGGCUCUCCCUCCAAAAUGACACCUGGAAAACUGCUUCCCACAGCUGCCAGAACUCCUCAGCACCUGCUCAGGGAUGAGGCAAUGCUGGCCUAUUUCCCUGAGGACCCACUCUGCUUUGAAUGCUCAAACCACUCACUAGUUGCAAUCAGGGAGCAGGAGGUGGUCCUCCACUGCUCUGGAUAGUCUUCACUCAGUUGGUGCUUUCAGCCUCUAGAGUUCUGAAAACUUGCCAGAGCUGCUUAUUUUCCCCCUCAGCAGCUGAAAGAGAGGAGAAUCCUCAGGUACUCCUCUCACUCACAGCAGCCUCAGCUGGGGACUCCUGCCCCAAUCCAGCAUCGUACACCAAAGCCCUACAAAGUCCAAAUCCAAGAUGCCAGCAGAGAUGGAGGGAAACUGCCCCUGCUGAGCUGGGAAAUCCCAGCUGAAGCAGGACCUGGUAGGAGCAGUCCUACAGGCACUGAGGAGCACAGCUGGCAGCAGCACCCAGCACAGAAAUGCAAAGGACAGGCACGAAACACACCAAAUACUGACUAUCUUCAGUGUUUUCAAUCCUUUUCAUCUUUGUUUUGACAGGAUUUCCAGUGAAGCAUUCAGUGCUGUUAGGAAAGUACUUUCCUUUCUGCUUGCUGUUGCUUGAGUCUAACCAACAAACAAUUAAAGUGGAGCCUUUCAAAUUGCCUGGCUUCAUCCAGCAGCAACCUGAGCAACUGCAGAUAGAAUCAGCAUAGUGGAGGCCAGUGGCUCCCUCUGACUAGUCAAAAGCAAUUUCAUUACCAGCAGCAAUUCAAGCAAUGAGUCGUCCCCUUCAGAUCUAUCCAAAUUCCAGCUCCCAUUGAACUCCACUCUCUUUCAGCUCCAAUCUUCUCCCUAAUCUAAUAAUAAUUCCACCAGCAAUAAAACACAGCCACUCUGGUAGAAUGCUUCCUCGCUGAAAUGCCUCUGUGCACAUUUUACUGUUACAGUAAAAAGAAUAUCCUAAAAAAAGCAAUUCUGAAAAACCUGCAUCUUUUUCCAUUAGAUUUUGAUCACCAGGGCUGACUUCCAGCUCAUCUAAGUGCAUUGGCCUUUAGAAAACACCAGAUAUCAUGAAGAAAUGGUCCCCAAGGAAAGCUAAGCACUGAGCCAGUGAUUGUCUCAAAUAAUCACUGUACACAUGAAAACAGACAUCUUUCUGCAGAUGGCCACUCCUUUCACUCCUGCUGGGCCACACAUAUGUCUUCACAGAAGUUUUCCAUUUCCAAAUGUCCCUCCAAACAUGCAGGAUACCACUGUCUGCUCCACUGGGGAAGAACAUGUCUUCAGCACAGUGACAUUACAGGAAUUAAAACCUCUGUAACCAUCACAUCUGGGGCCUCCAGAGACUAAAACUCCUCACAGGGUAAGAAGCAAUUUGACUUGGAAAAUACAGAAACAUUCCCAUCUGGCUUCCUGUCUACCCUGACCCAAAUUUUGGAUACCAUUCAAAAACACAUCAGGGAUCCAGAAAAACUGCUGAAGCUGCCCCUUUCACACUGACACAAAUCAUCCCUUCAAAACAUGGCACUUCCAGUGCAGAUCCUGGGAAAGAAAACAUUUUCCUAGUUACUUCUAGAGGAUAAAGUUCCAUGAGAAACAAAUGGGACCCAGGGAGCUUUUUAUUUAAAUGAGAAACCUCUGUUUUCCCUCUUCAAAAACUGAAUGAUUCAAUGUAGGAAAGAAGAUGUGUCACACCUUGUAUCCUUCUCCCAAACUAAGUUAUGACCACUUUGGCUUUUUCCCUGGCUGGAGGUGUUGAAUAGAUCCCAAACUAAGUUAUGACCACUUUGGCUUUUUCCCUGGCUGGAGGUGUUGACUAGAUCCCAAUGCUUUUUGCAACCAUGUUAAAAGUAUUAUGAUUGGAAAGCAGUUUUCUAUUGGGUCAUGUCCUGUGGAGUGCUAAUCCAUUCAAGCUGUACUUUGUUUAAAGACCAAAGAGUUCUGAAUGAAGACUGCAUAAAAACAGAGCAAAGCUCCUCUAGGUUUUGCUGCAUGUUUCCAAACAGAAAGCAGUGAAUAUAUCAUGGAGUCAGAGGAUGCCAGAGUUGGCCAAGACUUACUAACCAUUUUUUUGUGUAUUUUUGAAGGAUAGCUAGACCCUGGCAUUAACAUAAGGCAAAUGUUAAUGAAUAUGAUCAACAGAACUACCUAAUCAGCCACAGCAAGCGUGUCAGUGUAAGACAUCACAGGCACUGAUACAAACCAGCAGCAAAAAUAGCAACUAGAAUACCAAAUACCUGUGUAUACAGCUAAAGAGAAACAUCUGAUUUCACUCCUAGACUAAAUCAAGUGCCCUUAGACUAUCAAGACAAAGACAUCUAACUCCCCUAGAGAUUUGGAUUCAUCCUGAACAUGCUGCAUUUCAUACCCUUCAAGUGAGGCUGCACUUCAUUUUGCAUCUCUUACAUCAUGGGUCACAGAUCAUGAACUAAAAUUAAAUCCACAUAAGGUGCUCUGCAAUCUUCUCUCCCAGGGAAUUCUGUUGGGAUGGGGACAUUGCCUAUGUCUCCAUUUUAGAUGGCACUGAGCAUAGUGAAGCCUCUUUCCAAACUGGAGCAUUUUCCUGGGGAGGAAAGCAGCUGGGUUGUACCUCUUAAACCUGCAUUCAGUUCCUGGCUAUAUCAAAGCCUUCCCAAGUGGCUAUGAGCGAUUGUAUCUCUAUGUUACUUGCCUAUAAAACAGCAAUAAUAAUUCCUCCCAUGUCUUUUGCUCAUUUCUGUUGACUGAGCUGUGUAUGGCAAGAAGCAUCUCUUGCAAUGGGUAGCUAUAGCAUCUGGAAUAAUUCACCUUCCCCAAUUUUGUUGAGAUGUUUUAGGUAAACCUGAACCAAAAUAGGUAAAACCUGAACCACAAUAGUGUGAUCAAGUUCAUUUUCCACUUUAAAGGGAAGUCUCUGAUCACAAUAUGGUAACAUUUUGUAAUGAAUAUGCUUCCUAUGAUAUUUUAUAAAACCAGCAUUUAUGGAAAUCCAAAUCAUCCUAAAUAUGGGUGUUAAAAUAGAAUUGAUACAUUCCUUUCUGACAAGGGUAAAAGCAGAGAUUCUAUCCUUGGGAUCCAACACAUUUCAUAGCACAGACUAUAUUUAAUGGAGCUGUAGUCAGGAGAUAAUUCUGUGGGAUUUGGAACAGGAUGUGGCUUACCUUCUACAGGUAAAGAAGAAACAAAACCAGCUUAGUUUGACUGUGCUCCCCAUCAUCAACUGCCACUGUGAGCUGAGCAGGCUUUUUUUCCCCCUUGUUCUCUUAGGAAGCCUGGUUUGAAUUUUUGAUUUACAAGUGGACAAAUGCAGAGGUUUUUUUGCUUAAGCAGAACAAAUAAAACAGUAAUAAGAAAAUUGCUCAGUUACUAGAGUCUCUCAGUAGGCAGAGAUGUAGGAUUGCUCCUCCUUCACUGCAGAUCAGUUGCCUUAUGUGCCCCUACAGUGCUCUGUAUUGAGCACAAUAAUUACACCACUUCCUUCCCAUCUGGGAUUCAGUCCAAAGACAUUUUACCAAGUAACAAUGCUUUCUCUAUUCACCCUCUUCAGAACAGAAUAGCAUUGUUUAGUUUAAGUGGGCUUCCAGCCAGAAGAAGGUCAAUCAUAACAAAGCACUGACAUUAAGAUAAAGGCUAAAACUAUUCUUUAUGAAAAGUAUCCAGCUCCUGACAGUUGGCACUUGAGUGACAAGUUUGCAUUGAGGGCGUUUCAUGUACUUAGCUUUUGUAAUUUGGGUAGUGUUCGAUUUCACAUUUGUGUUUAUUUAUUGCAAACCACAGAAUCACCCUGCAGGUUUUCUCAAUUUUCUCUUAAGGAAAAUACAAUGUUCUGUUGCAAUUAAGUAAACAAAGUUGGUUUCAAUGUACACUUUAAAAAAACAUUGGUUUUUAAACCUACCAGUGGCUCGGCUUGUUUACAGUUCGUGGUCUCAGGCAUUUUUCCCUGUGGUUCUCUAUAUGGUAAUUUUGCUGUAGAAAAUAGUUGGCAUUGUCUAGUCUCCUUUUUUGGUGAUGUUUGCAAGGAAAGCUAUCUCUAAUAAAGCUGUAAGAGUACGAAUAUCUCUCCAACUAUCACAUACCCACAGAAAAAAUACUGCUGCUUUUAUUUCUAUUUUUCUCCCCUAAACCUGCCUCCCUUGACAUUUGGUCUAACCUAUCCCUCAUGUUUCCCCUCUGUGCUUUGAUA